AAGACUAUAUUUUCAGGGAUUGUUUUUAUAGUUCUUUAUUUGGAAAUGUGUUUCGAAAGUGUUUGUCUCCCAACCCACGAUGAUGAGCUGGGCUGCUUCUUUCUGAGAGUGAAUCAAAGACAGAGCUGUGACUUUGGUUGCAAGCUCUGCUAUUGAUGAGUGUUCUCUAUUGCUUUUGGCAAUGUUGACGAAAGGAGUAUGAUCUGAGUGGU
ensembl:snoRNA U3 Small nucleolar RNA U3